UCCCCGUUACCGGGGCAGUCUGAAUAGAAAAAUUCAACUAUUCAUAAGGGUUGCGCUCGUUGAUGGACUUAACCAAACAUCUCACGACACGAGCUGACGACGGCCAUGCAUCACCUGUCACCAAAUUCCUUGCGGCACAAUUUCCUUUCGGAAGUCUUUCUGGGAUGUCAAGUCUGGGUAAGGUUCUUCGCUUACCAUCGAAUUAAACAACACGCUCCACCGCUUGUGCGGGUCCCCGUCAAUUCCUUUAUGUUUUAGCCUUGCGGCCGUACUCCACAGGCGGGAUGCUUAACGCGUUAGCUUCGCUACUGAAGGGGUCGAUACCUCCAACAGCUAGCAUCCAUAGUUUACGGCGUGGACUAC
rnacentral:misc_RNA from 1 species